rnacentral:lncRNA from 10 species
CCCCUCUCUGUUUCCUUCCUGCCACAUUUAUUAACCUCUCCCAAAAGAGCAUUUCAAGGAACACCGUUUAGGAAAUGCAGCCACAGAAUAAUAAAGGAACAGACUCACUAAGAGUGCAUUGUGUCCCUGCAAGCUGCAUCUCGUUUAUAAUACUAACGCUGCAGAAGGCAUACUGGGAUGCUUGUUUCUAAAGGAGAUUUGAAGCAAGCUGGCAGGCAGCACUAGGUGGAAUAAAAAGAUAAGUUCUUAAUAAAAAGAUGUAUGCAGAAAGGUGUUAUUAUCUGGGCUCGAGACCUAGCAUGCUGCCGCAAGACCUGACCUCUGAAAGACAACUGCUCCUCCCCGAGCCACAAAGCAAUGUGAACAGAGAAUCCCUGGAUUUGUAAGCCGGGAACGCAACCCCAGGCGACACAGAGACCAGCAAGCAGUAACCUGGCAACCGAGCGUGGAUGCUGGCAGAGGAGCCCCUCUCCUUCGACUCCUGCCCCUCCUUCCCCUCCCUCACAGGCGCAGACUCGGGGGGAGGCGCAGGGCCGCCUGCUGUUCUGAGAGGGAGCUGCGCGUAUCUAGGCUGAGGGCCUUUCUGGUACAGCCUUCCGCUGCCGUCAAUGCUGCUUCUGCCCCAGCUCCCAGGGCAGUGACCUUGGAGAAGACAUUGAACUUUCUGGGGACCAGUUUGCCCUUGUGAGCACUAGCCACAAAAGGUCCAUCUACACCACAUGCCGAGACAUGUGAGUGCUUUGCGAACUUUACGACUUGGAAUGCAU